GAUGAACGCUGGCGGCGUGCCUAAUACAUGCAAGUCGAACGCAUAGCGAAAGGUGCUUGCACCUUUCAAGUGAGUGGCGAACGGGUGAGUAACACGUGGACAACCUGCCUCAAGGCUGGGGAUAACAUUUGGAAACAGAUGCUAAUACCGAAUAAAACUUAGUGUCGCAUGACACAAAGUUAAAAGGCGCUUCGGCGUCACCUAGAGAUGGAUCCGCGGUGCAUUAGUUAGUUGGUGGGGUAAAGGCCUACCAAGACAAUGAUGCAUAGCCGAGUUGAGAGACUGAUCGGCCACAUUGGGACUGAGACACGGCCCAAACUCCUACGGGAGGCCGCAGUAGGGAAUCUUCCACAAUGGGCGAAAGCCUGAUGGAGCAACGCCGCGUGUGUGAUGAAGGCUUUCGGGUCGUAAAGCACUGUUGUAUGGGAAGAACAGCUAGAAUAGGAAAUGAUUUUAGUUUGACGGUACCAUACCAGAAGGGGACGGCUAAAUACGUG
rnacentral:rRNA from 1 species